UACGGAGGGUGCAAGCGUUAUUCGGAAUUACUGGGCGUAAAGCGCGCGCAGGCGGUUUUGUAAGUCUGUCGUGAAAUCCCCGGGCUCAACCUGGGAAUUGCGAUGGAGACUGCAAGGCUAGAAUCUGGCAGAGGGGGGUAGAAUUCCACGUGUAGCAGUGAAAUGCGUAGAGAUGUGGAGGAACACCGAUGGCGAAGGCAGCCCCCUGGGUCAAGAUUGACGCUCAUGCACGAAAGCGUGGGGAGCAAACAGG
rnacentral:rRNA from 1 species